AGUUGGCAUUUUUGGAAGUAGUUUUCUUGUGUGGAGUCUCUCUCUCUUCCUCACAGAGAUUGGGCGGCUCCACCUGCACCUUCACACCUGCACCAGAUUACUGCAAUCACCACCUGCAUUUAAGUCCUGCUGUGAGGCUUCUCCAGUGCCAGAUUAUACCUGCAUCUGAUGUGUGCCUCCACGAGCCCCCCAGUGCUACCGCCCAAUCACUGCCAUGCUGCCACACUCUCUCCCUGGAUUCCCUCCUCACUCCUUGGACCCUGGAUCCCGUCCAUCCACCCUUUGUUCCCUUCAAUAAAUUCACUUAACUGCUU